rnacentral:rRNA from 1 species
UACGUAGGGGGCAAGCGUUGUCCGGAAUUAUUGGGCGUAAAGCGCGUGUAGGCGGCCAGAAAAGUCCGCUGUGAAAACUCGAGGCUCAACUUCGAGCUGUCGGUGGAAACUUUCUGGCUAGAGUCCGGAAGAGGAGAAUGGAAUUCCUGGUGUAGCGGUGAAAUGCGCAGAUAUCAGGAAGAACACCUAUGGCGAAGGCAGCUCUCUGGGACGGUACUGACGCUGAGACGCGAAAGCGUGGGGAGCGAACAGG